CCUACGGGAGGCAGCAGUGAGGAAUAUUGGUCAAUGGGCGCGAGCCUGAACCAGCCAAGUAGCGUGAAGGAUGACUGCCCUACGGGUUGUAAACUUCUUUUAUAAAGGAAUAAAGUGAGGCACGUGUGCCUUUUUGUAUGUACCUUAUGAAUAAGCAUCGGCUAAAUCCGUGCCAGCAGCCGCGGUAAUUCGGAGGAUCCGAGCGUUAUCCGGAUUUAUUGGGUUUAAAGGGAGCGUAGUCGGUUUGUUAAGUCAGCUGUGAAAGUCGGCGGCUCAACCGUAACAUUGCCGUUGAUACUGGCAGCCUUGAGUACAGGCAGGGUAGACGGAAUUCGUGGUGUAGCGGUGAAAUGCUUAGAUAUCACGAAGAACUCCGAUUGCGAAGGCAGUGUACUAGA
rnacentral:rRNA from 1 species